GGAAUUCGAUUCGUGCUUAACACAUGCAAGUCGUACGAGAACUCUUCUGCUUGCAGAAGAUAGUAAAGUGGCGUACGGGUGAGUAACGCGUGGGUAAUCUACCUCCGAAUCGGGGAUAACAUUGCGAAAGCGAUGCUAAUACCGGAUAAUAUCCUGAGGUCUUCGGUCCUUGAGAUCAAAGGUGGCCUCUACAUGUAAGCUACCGUUUGGAGAUGAGCUCGCGUACCAUUAGCUUGUUGGUGGGGUAAUGGCCUACCAAGGCUACGAUGGUUAGCUGGUCUGAGAGGAUGAUCAGCCACACUGGAACUGACACACGGUCCAGACUCCUACGGGAGGCAGCAGUGAGGAAUUUUGCGCAAUGGGGGAAACCCUGACGCAGCAACGCCGCGUGAGUGAUGAAGGCUUUCGGGUCGUAAAGCUCUGUCAAGUGGGAAGAACCUGUCCGAUGCGAACACCAUUGGGCACUGACGGUACCACUGAAGGAAGCACCGGCUAACUCCGUGCCAGCAGCCGCGGUAAUACGGGGGGUGCAAGCGUUAUUCGGAAUCAUUGGGCGUAAAGGGCGCGUAGGCGGCCUCUUAAGUCAGAUGUGAAAGCC
rnacentral:rRNA from 1 species